rnacentral:lncRNA from 1 species
GUCUCCUCCGUCUUCUCCUGCGACAUAACCGUCUCCUCCGUUCCAGUGGAGGUGGUGGGUUUAAUGGUGUUUGUUGCUGGUUUGGGUUGUUGUAGGUUGGGGUUAGGGUUCUAGUGGGGGUGGUGAUGGUGGAGACGGUGGUGGGUGAAGGAGAGAGAGAGAGAAUCGAUGGUGGUGGGUGGGUUGUGUGGGUGGUUUUGGUGGAAGCAAAGAAGUCAUUUCCUCACACUUGAUGUAUACUCUUCACAUAAAGGUUGUCUUCCGGUCACUUUGACAUAAUAAUUUUGCCCUAUAAAUACUUCCAAAACUGCAUUCUCUAUGUACACUGACGACUCAAACUUUAAAAUCAGAGACGAUUGAUGGUGGGCUUGUAAAUAUUUGGGGGAGAAGUGAUGAGAGAGGGAAUAGAGAGAGAAGGGAGAGUUUUUUAUUUUUCAAUGUUUUACAUAUAGUCCCUAAGUAAUAAUUUAUUACAAAAUAACCCCUAGGAGGCAAAAUGACAAAACUGCCCUCAUGUGCAAGGCACAUGACCAACUUUAACAAAAAAAUCUAACUGAGUUUGGCUUAAAGGACAUAACGUGCAGGAUUUUGAAACGUUAAGGACAAAACUCGUCAAUUUUAAAGACAAAGGACAGCGCCUGAAAUUUGAGACAAACAUAAAGGACAAAACUUGUAAUUUACUCUAUUUUUUUAUCAUAACUAUGAUAGUGUUUUUCUUUAUUUGGUUAACUCGAUGCAUCUUUUUUUAUAUUGUGUUACAAGUAGCAUGUAUA